UUUAAGCUACAGAAUGAAAGUUUUGUUCCUGGCUCUGGUUUUUGCCUUAGUGCUAAUGAGAGGUUCUGCUCUGAAAUGUGUCCGGUGUUUCCCACCUGAUCGUGAAUGGUGCAUACCCAGUCCUGAAACCUGCAAUGAGAAAAAUGCCUGUGUCUUUUAUGAACUGAAUAUUGGAUCAAGUCGAAAUGUUCCUCCAGCGAAGAAGUGCAUUUCUAUGGCCGAAUGUCUCAAGCUGAAGCAAAAUCCUAAUUACAAAGUCAAAU